CCCCCCCCCCCCCCCCCCCCCCCCCCCCCCCCCCCCCCCCCCCCCCCCCCCCCCCCCCCCCCCCCCCCUUUUUUUUUUUUUUUUUUUUUUUCUCCAGCUGAACUCUGUUGUUUAUGGAGGAAAGCAUUCAUCCAUGGUUUGAAGUGUCAGUGCUACCAUCAGCUCAAGCCUUGAACUCCCACAUUUGCAUUUACCAGGCCUUGUACAGAGGUGCAGCUGUCAUUGCUGACAUCUUCUCAGAGAGCUAGGAAUCCCCACAGCUUGAAGAAGAAGCUAGAAAUUAUCUGCUGCCUCAGGUAUCAACUUCAGCAGCAGAGAAAGGCAGGACCAAGUCUGCCAGAAGGGAACUACCGACAUGCAGAUGAGGCAGAACUGGCAACAUAUGUGGCAACAGAAGACACUGAACACUUCUACAUUCAUGGCACCAGGAUAUUUUGAUGUUUUCUAAUUACAUUCCUGUUGCUUUCUACUAUUUACUCUUUAGUCCUCUAGUGUGUAAAUAGAGAGAGGGACUUCAAAGCAGAUUAUGUUUAAAAGAAAUAAUUUUAAACAGGCAAUAAGAAAUAAUUCUAAACAGGCAAUGCAAAAAAUUGACCUCCAGCCAGUUUAAUCCAGAAAUUGAUAUUGCGUUUACCAUAACUCAUUUAAAUUCUAAAAUUUUUUGUAAGCCUGAAUAAGAUCUUAAAUGGAUUUGUUUCAGAGUAUGAUCUGUGAUUAUUUACUCACUGUAUUUAUCUCAAUAGAUAUGUCACUUUCAUAAAUAACAAGAGAGUAUGAUUUAACCAGUUGUUUAAAGGAGAGUUGUCAUAGCAGGCACCUCUUUAAUGUGUGUGUGGAUUGAUUUGACAUUUUAUUGUGGGUGUGAGCUGAUUUGAAUUAGCUGCUUUCCAGAGGUAAGCCAUUUCUGGCAUGGACUGUGGUUUCAUUUAUGUAUAGCACCUAUAACUUAGAGAGAACUCCUGGAAAUGAUCAAUGACAAACAACUGAACAUAAGAAAUGUAAUUUACCUAAAACAGCUUUGCCUGAAGUUUUGGUGUCUAUGUCUGUGUCCAUCACUCUUUGUUUGCUUCACUAAGAAAUAAAAAUUGGAUGUUGAGAUAGGUGUGGUUAGCUGCCACCCAAAAGUGCUUAUCUGAGAUUAAUUGCCACCUCACAUUUUUUUAACAUGGCCUACAAAAAGAUUGCAAACUCAGAGCUCCAUAUCAUAGUAGAGCUAUCAUAUGGCUGAGGAAGCCUACUCAGGACUCUAGUUUGUUUGGCAACAAGGGAUUCCAGCAAGUACUGUGAACUAAAAAAUUUAAAAAAUAAAGGCACUUUUUGAUCACUUGCCUGUACUGAAGAUGUUCAGCCACUAACAG
rnacentral:lncRNA from 12 species